rnacentral:rRNA from 1 species
GUGGGGAAUCUUCCGCAAUGGACGAAAGUCUGACGGAGCAACGCCGCGUGAGUGAUGAAGGUCUUCGGAUUGUAAAGCUCUGUUAAUCGGGACGAAAGAGCCUAGUGUGAAUAAUGCUAGGAAGUGACGGUACCGGAAUAGAAAGCCACGGCUAACUACGUGCCAGCAGCCGCGGUAAUACGUAGGUGGCAAGUGUUGUCCGGAAUUAUUGGGCGUAAAGCGCGCGCAGGCGGAUCUGCCAGUCUGUCUUAAAAGUUCGGGGCUUAACCCCGUGAUGGGAUGGAAACUACAGAUCUAGAGUAUCGGAGAGGAAAGUGGAUUUCCUAGUGUAGCGGUGAAAUGCGUAGAUAUUAGGAAGAACACCAGUGGCGAAGGCGACUUUCUGGACGAAAACUGACGCUGAGGCGCGAAAGCCAGGGGAGCGAACGGGAUUAGAAACCCCAGUAGUCC